rnacentral:lncRNA from 1 species
AGAUUUCAUGCAAUCUCCACAAUUUUAAGUGACUGCUAAGUGGACACCUCUUUUUACUAUUUUUACACACCUUGCCACAUGCCCCUGCAUAUAUGUAAUAAAACUCUUAUUUAUAUUUAAAAGCUUUAAAGUAAAUUCACUGUAAAAUAUUUAUUAAGUAAAAUUAAUAAGGCUAUUUGAAGUGAAUGAAAGAAAUAAAUUAAAUGUGAUAUGUUUUUUAAAAUAAUUAACAAAAAUAAAAAAAUAAAAUUCUAUAAGACAUUGCACACAAAUCUUUUACUAUAAAUUUCUCUUAAAACUUUUUAUUGCAAAAAUGGUUUUUAUAAAUGGUACUAUAAAUAGAUAAAUUUACAAGGUAGCAAUUGAACACCUAUUCUUUAGAAUUUAUUUUAAGUCACUGCUCCUACCAACUCAUCAAAUUCUUCUAAAAUUCAAGCAAAUCUUCUUGGUGUCUUUCUAAAAAGCUACAU